rnacentral:rRNA from 1 species
AACGAACGCUGGCGGCAGGCUUAACACAUGCAAGUCGAACGCCCCUUACGGGGAGUGGCAGACGGGUGAGUAACGCGUGGGAAUCUACCCAUCUCUACGGAAUAACUCAGGGAAACUUGUGCUAAUACCGUAUACGCCCUUUGGGGGAAAGAUUUAUCGGAGAUGGAUGAGCCCGCGUUGGAUUAGCUAGUUGGUGGGGUAAAGGCCUACCAAGGCGACGAUCCAUAGCUGGUCUGAGAGGAGGAUCAGCCACAUUGGGACGGAGACACGGCCCAAACUCCUACGGGAGGCAGCAGUGGGGAAUAUUGGACAAUGGGCGCAAGCUUGAUCCAGCCAUGCCGCGUGAGUGAUGAAGGCCCUAGGGUUGUAAAGCUCUUUCACCGAUGAAGAUAAUGACUGUAGUCGGAGAAGAAGCCCCGGCUAACUUCGUGCCAGCAGCCGCGGUAACAC